UAGGGAAUCUUCCACAAUGGACGCAAGUCUGAUGGAGCAACGCCGCGUGAGUGAAGAAGGCUUUCGGGUCGUAAAACUCUGUUAUUGAAGAAGAACGUGCGUGACAGUAACUGGUCAUGCAGUGACGGUAUUCAAUCAGAAAGUCACGGCUAACUACGUGCCAGCAGCCGCGGUAAUACGUAGGUGGCAAGCGUUGUCCGGAUUUAUUGGGCGUAAAGCGAGUGCAGGCGGUCUUUUAAGUCUGAUGUGAAAGCCUUCGGCUUAACCGAAGAAGGGCAUCGGAAACUGGGAGACUUGAGUGCAGAAGAGGAGAGU
rnacentral:rRNA from 1 species